UCAGCACGUACAUCGCAUGAGCAGGCAGCUAGCUCUACUUCUGAAGUUUUGCGUGGUGGUAUCGUUGCACAGCUGGAACGCUAGAACCAGCAGUGAGAUUUGAGAAUCUGUCUAUUCCAUUGCAACAGUUGCAGUCAACAACCUUGAACUAGUUUGUCGAAGCAUCACGGAGCAGCCUAAGAGCCAAGCAAACCAGUUGGAUCUGUACCACAAGCUUCAUCCCUGUGUCAGAUUUUUCAAAGGAUUCUAAAAUUUCUUCGGGACACUCUGUUCUGCUGAGUCAGCAACGCAGCGAGCUGCUAUUCGCUUCCAUGCAAUCGACAUUGCACAACUGAUCUAUAAUGGACGACGUACCAGUCAAGGGGGUGCAGUAUGGCCGUGAUCCAGCUGAUGAUCAGGAGGAGUUUAGACCUGCAUCCGAAGUGUUUGGAAGCAAUGAGUUGGAUUACCUGGACAAGCUGGAAGCUCAGGGUGGAAGUGCUGCUGAUAUCGCUCUUGGUCGACAAUCUCUUUAUGUGAAGUUUGAUCCACUGGUGGAUUCUGCUAGUCAACCUG